AACGAACGCUGGCGGCAUGCCUAACACAUGCAAGUCGAACGAGACCUUCGGGUCUUGUGGCGCACGGGUGCGUAACGCGUGGGAACCUGCCCUUAGGUUCGGAAUAACUCCCCGAAAGGGGUGCUAAUACCGGUUAAUGUCUUCUGACCAAAGAUUUAUCGCCUUUGGAUGGGCCCGCGUUGGAUUAGCUUGUUUGUAGGGUAAAAGCAUACCAAGGCGAGGAUCCAUAGCUGGUUUGAGAGGAUGAUCAGCCACACUGGGACUGAGACACGGCCCAGACUACUACGGGAGGGAGCAGAGGGGAAUAUUGGACAAUGGGGGAAAGCAUGAUCAAGCAAUGACGCGUGAGUGAUGAAGGCAUUAGGGUUGUAAAGCUGUUUUACACGGGAUGAUAAUGACAGUAACGGGAGAAUAAGCACCGGCUAACUCCGUG
rnacentral:rRNA from 1 species